UGAGCAACCUGCCCUUGACCCCGGAAUAACAGUUAGAAACAGCUGCUAAUACCGGAUACGACCUCUUCCGACAUCUGGAGAGGUGGAAAGCCCUGGCGGUCAAGGAUGGGCUCGCGGCCUAUCAGCUUGUUGGUGAGGUAACGGCUCACCAAGGCUUCGACGGGUAGCCGGCUGAGAGGGCGACCGGCCACACUGGGACUGAGACACGGCCCAGACCUCCGUACGGGGAGGCAGNAGGUAGGGG
rnacentral:rRNA from 1 species